GUUUGAUCCUGGCUCAGAUUGAACGCUGGCGGCAGGCCUAACACAUGCAAGUCGAGCGGUAGCACAGAGAGCUUGCUCUCGGGUGACGAGCGGCGGACGGGUGAGUAAUGUCUGGGAAACUGCCUGAUGGAGGGGGAUAACUACUGGAAACGGUAGCUAAUACCGCAUAACGUCGCAAGACCAAAGUGGGGGACCUUCGGGCCUCAUGCCAUCAGAUGUGCCCAGAUGGGAUUAGCUAGUAGGUGGGGUAAUGGCUCACCUAGGCGACGAUCCCUAGCUGGUCUGAGAGGAUGACCAGCCACACUGGAACUGAGACACGGUCCAGACUCCUACGGGAGGCAGCAGUGGGGAAUAUUGCACAAUGGGCGCAAGCCUGAUGCAGCCAUGCCGCGUGUAUGAAGAAGGCCUUCGGGUUGUAAAGUACUUUCAGCGAGGAGGAAGGCAUUAAGGUUAAUAACCUUGGUGAUUGACGUUACUCGCAGAAGAAGCACCGGCUAACUCCGUGCCAGCAGCCGCGGUAAUACGGNGGGUGCAAGCGUUAAUCGGAAUUACUGGGCGUAAAGCGCACGCAGGCGGUCUGUCAAGUCGGAUGUGAAAUCCCCGGGCUCAACCUGGGAACUGCAUUCGAAACUGGCAGGCUAGAGUCUUGUAGAGGGGGGUAGAAUUCCAGGUGUAGCGGUGAAAUGCGUAGAGAUCUGGAGGAAUACCGGUGGCGAAGGCGGCCCCCUGGACAAAGACUGACGCUCAGGUGCGAAAGCGUGGGGAGCAAACAGGAUUAGAUACCCUGGUAGUCCACGCCGUAAACGAUGUCGACUUGGAGGUUGUGCCCUUGAGGCGUGGCUUCCGGAGCUAACGCGUUAAGUCGACCGCCUGGGGAGUACGGCCGCAAGGUUAAAACUCAAAUGAAUUGACGGGGGCCCGCACAAGCGGUGGAGCAUGUGGUUUAAUUCGAUGCAACGCGAAGAACCUUACCUACUCUUGACAUCCAGAGAACUUAGCAGAGAUGCUUUGG
rnacentral:rRNA from 1 species